rnacentral:rRNA from 1 species
UUUCUGACCUAUCAGCUUUAGACGGUAGGGUAUUGGCCUACCGUGGCUAUGACGGGUAACGGGGAAUUAGGGUUCGAUUCCGGAGAGGGAGCCUGAGAAACGGCUACCACAUCUAAGGAAGGCAGCAGGCGCGCAAAUUACCCAAUCCUAAUACAGGGAGGUAGUGACAAGAAAUAACAAUACAGAGCCUUACGGUUUUGUAAUUGGAAUGAGUUAAGUAUAAACCCCUUAACAAGUAUCAAUUGGAGGGCAAGUCUGGUGCCAGCAGCCGCGGUAAUUCCAGCUCCAAUAGCGUAUAUUAAAGUUGUUGCAGUUAAAAAGCUCGUAGUUAAUUUUCUGUUAAUUUUUAUAUACAAUGCUACGGUAUUUAUAUAAUAUUAACAUAAUUCAUAUUACUUUUUAGUAUAUGAAACUUUACUUUGAGAAAAUUAGAGUGCUUAAAGCAGGCUAUUGCCUUGAAUACUCCAGCAUGGAAUAAUAUUAAGGAUUUUUAUUCUUCUUAUUGGUUCUAGAAUAAAAAUAAUGAUUAAUAGGGACAGUUGGGGGCAUUUGUAUUUAACAGUCAGAGGUGAAAUUCUUAGAUUUGUUAAAGACAAACUACUGCGAAAGCAUUUGCCAAGGAUGUUUUCAUUAAUCAAGAACGAAAGUUAGGGGAUCGAAGACGAUCAGAUA